GGCCAACAGAGAGUUUGAUUCUGGCUCAGAUUGAACGCUGGCGGGAUGCUUUACACAUGCAAGUCGAACGGCAGCACGGACUUCGGUCUGGUGGCGAGUGGCGAACGGGUGAGUAAUGUAUCGGAACGUGCCUAGUAGCGGGGGAUAACUACGCGAAAGCGCCAGCUAAUACCGCAUACGCCCUUCGGGGAAAGCGGGGGACCUUCGGGCCUCACUAUUAGAGCGGCCGAUAUCGGAUUAGCUAGUUGGUGGGGUAACGGCUCACCAAGGCGACGAUCCGUAGCUGGUUUGAAGGACGACCAGCCACACUGGGACUGAGACACGGCCCAGACUCCUACGGGAGGCAGCAGUGGGGAAUUUUGGACAAUGGGGAAACCUGAUCCAGCCAUCCCGCGUGCGAUGAAGGCCUUCGGGUUGUAAGCACUUUUGGCAGGAAAAAAGCGGCACGGGAUAAUACCCCGUGCAACUGACCAAUACCUGCAGAAUAAGCACCGGCCCAACACGUGCCAGCAGCCGCGAUAAUACGUAGGGUGCAAGCGUUAAUCGGAAUUACUGGGCGUAAAGCGUGCGCAGGCGGUUCGGAAAGAAAGAUGUGAAAUCCAGAGCUUAACUUUGGAACUGCAUUUUUAACUACCGAGCUAGAGUGUGUCAGAGGGAGGUGGAAUUCCCGUGUAGCAGUGAAAUGCGUAGAUGUACGGAGGAACCUGAUGGCGAAGGCAGCCUCCUGGGAUAACACUGACGCUCAUGCACGAAAGCGUAGAGCAAGCAGGAUUAGAUACCCUGGUAGUCCACGCCCUAAACGAUGUCAACUAGCUGUUGGGGCCUUCGGGCCUUGGUAGCGCAGCUAACGCGUGAAGUUGACCGCCUGGGAAGUACGGUCGCAAGAUUAAAACUCAAAGGAAUUGACGGGACCGCACAAGCGGUGGAUGAUGUGGAUUAAUUCGAUGCAACGCGAAAAACCUUACCUACCCUUGACAUGUCUGGAAUCCCGAAGAGAUUUGGGAGUGCUCGCAAGAGAACCGGAACACAGGUGCUGCAUGGCUGUCGUCAGCUCGUGUCGUGAGAUGUUGGGUUAAGUCCGCAACGAGCGCAGCCCUUGUCAUUAGUUGCUACGAAAGGGCACUCUAAUGAGACUGCCGGUGACAAACCGGAGGAAGGUGGGGAUGACGUCAGAUCCUCAUGGCCCUUAUGGGUAGAGAGCUUCACGUCAUACAAUGGUCGGGACAGAGGGUCGCCAACCCGCGAAGAGGGAGCCAAUCCCAGAAACCCGAUCAUAGUCCGGAUCGCAGUCUGCAACUCGACUGCGUGAAGUCGGAAUCGCUAGUAAUCGCGGAUCAGCAUGUCGCGGUGAAUACGUUCCCGGGUCUUGUACACACCGCCCGUCACACCAUAGGAGUGGGUUUACCAGAAGUAGUUAGCCUAACCGUAAGGAGGGCGAUUACCACGGUAGGAUUCAUGACUGGGGUGAAGUCGUAACAAGGUAA
rnacentral:rRNA from 1 species